GAUAGACUGCUGUAAACCCUAGGAUGAUGGGUUAGAUCUAGUGUAGUGCUAGUGUAGAUCCCGAGACAAGCUGGUGACUUUCAUCUGACAGAAAGUGUGCAAAAUGUUUGAGGGAACAAAAGCAGCCAACUCAAGAAUUGAUGGGUUGGGCUGGUUUUCAUUCUCAAAAGAAGAGCAUACAGUAACCUACCAGAAAAAAGUUCAGGGAUUGGCUGUGACCAAUUCAAGACAUGAUAACACAUUCUAUGAAUCAUCUGAGCUGUCUUGAUAUCUGUGGAAGAAAGAAAGUUGCGCAACACAUCAAAAUAAAUUCAAGUUGUGGAUCAUUAGAAAUGAAAGGAGAGACAUUUGUUGUUGAAGGAGAUAUAGAACUCUAUUCUGAACAAGUGUGAAGGAUUAGUGACCUUGUAUUAUGGAUCUGUGACCUUAUGUGAAGGAUCUGUUAUCUACAUGUAGUGUGAAAAUAAGUGACCUUGUAUGAAAGUUCUGUGAACUUGUGUGAAGGACUUUGACCUUUUGUGAAGAUAUCUGUGACCUUAUGAAAAGGUUAUGUUGCCUUGUAUAAAGGAUCUCUAACCUUGUGUGAAGGAUCUGUGACCUUUUGUGAAAGAUCUGUGACCUUAUGUGAAAGAUUUGUUAUCAAGUCUGAAGGAUCUGUGACAUUAUGUGAAGGAUCUGUGACCUUGCAUGAAGGAUCUGUGACCUUAUGUGAAGGAUCUGUGACCUUGUGUAAAGGACCUGUGAUCUUAUGUGAAGGAUUUUUGACCUUGAAGGAUCUGUGACCUUAUGUGAAGGAUCUGUGACCUUUUGAGAAGGAUCUGUGCAUUUUCCACCUUUAUUCUUUCCUUUCUUUUGUUGAUGUUUUGAACCAAAAAACUUAUGUACUAUCAUCACCCCCAGCAGUAAUUUCCUUGUUACACCAGUGUAGUAUUGACCAGUUUAUAAAUCCAUCAAAUGAAUGUAUGUCUUGCAUUCACCCUUAGACUUGCAUUAAUUUUUUGCCUUGGACACGUGUGAAUUUUUAUCCCUGUUCUCCCUGGGAAGUUUUUAAUGUUAGUGAUUAUACUCUAACCUUUGAUGUUUAAUACUGAUUGGGAAGUUUAGGAUGAGUGCAGUAUAACAAUUUUUUGUGUUACGUAGUAUUAGGAAAAAUUAAUUGCCCAAACAACAUGUAAACAAUGUUACGGAAAUGUUUUGUUACUAAGUUUUAGUUAUUUAGGCUACAGCCAAAAAAAAUUCAGAAUAUAUCGCAUGGGCAAACAUUCGAUUAUAGAAGGGGUAUUAUCAAAUGGUCACUUUCUAGUGAACACUAUCCUGAGAAAGUCCAGUUUUUUAUCAAAAUAAAUUUAUGUCUAUAUUGCAAAAUCCAUAAUUCUUGAAAAUAUUGUCUCAUAAAUAAAUAGAGUGAGGUUCCGCCACUCAAAUUUUUGCUUACUCUGCAUUUUGCCGCGGUUCACAGGUUUCCAUCAUUUUUUCAAAUUUUGAAAUAUUUUGUUUUUAAUAUAUGGUUUUUCCUGGGCGGCAGAGGAGGCUUAUUUUAUUUUUGGAUGCAUUUUAAUGUGCAUUUUGUUAUGAAUAUGCAAUGCUGUAUGAAAACUGCUUUGUUUGCAUGUUAUUUUCUUUGAAAAAUAAACCUGGCCUAAACCUGCAUGGUGCUCUGUAAUGCAAUUUAAGGGUUUUUAAUAACCGUUUAUAUAGGCAUCAAGUGUAGUGAAGAGACUGGUCAUCUUAAUUCAUUAUAUGUGUGUUUUAUGUCUAUUUGUUUUGACAUUAAAAUUCAUAUACAAUGUAUGAUGUACUACUUAUAAUAAGUGACAUCUGCUUUCUAAAAUCUUUUCAGAGUUAUAUGCAUAACAGUAGCCAUUAUUUUCAAAUAUUCUUUUCAAAGUACAUG